UACGUAGGCAGCGAGCGUUGUUCGGAGUUACUGGCGUAAGCGUGCGCAGGCGGUUUUGUAAGUCUGUCGUGAAAUCCCCGGGCUCAACCUGGGAAUUGCGAUGGAGACUGCAAGGCUAGAAUCUGGCAGAGGGGGUAGAAUUCCACGUGUGAGCAGUGAAAUGCGUAGAGAUGUGGAGGAACACCGAUGGCGAAGGCAGCCCCCUGGGUCAAGAUUGACGCUCAUGCACGAAAGCGUGGGGAGCAACAGG
rnacentral:rRNA from 1 species